GAGAAUGUCUAGUUAGCAUUAUACCGUGAAACUGCGAAUGGCUCAUUAAAUCAGUUAUCGUUUAUUUGAUAGUACCUUACUACUUGGAUAACCGUGGUAAUUCUAGAGCUAAUACAUGCUUACAACCUCGACUUCGGAAGGGGUGUAUUUAUUAGAUAAAAAACCAACGCCCUUCGGGGCUUCUUGGUGAUUCAUGAUAACUUUACGGAUCGCAUGGCCUUGCGCCGGCGACGGUUCAUUCAAAUUUCUGCCCUAUCAACUUUCGAUGGUAAGGUAUUGGCUUACCAUGGUUUCAACGGGUAACGGGGAAUUAGGGUUCGAUUCCGGAGAGGGAGCCUGAGAAACGGCUACCACAUCCAAGGAAGGCAGCAGGCGCGCAAAUUACCCAAUCCCAAUACGGGGAGGUAGUGACAAUAAAUACUGAUACAGGGCUCUUUUGGGUCUUGUAAUUGGAAUGAGUACAAUUUAAACCUCUUAACGAGGAACAAUUGGAGGGCAAGUCUGGUGCCAGCAGCCGCGGUAAUUCCAGCUCCAAUAGCGUAUAUUAAAGUUGUUGCAGUUAAAAAGCUCGUAGUUGAACCUUGGGUCUGGCUGGCAGGUCCGCCUCACCGCGUGUACUUGUCCGGCCGGGCCUUCCUUCUGGAGAACCUCAUGCCCUUCACUGGGCGUGUUGGGGACCAGGACUUUUACUUUGAAAAAAUUAGAGUGUUCAAAGCAGGCCUUUGCUCGAAUACGUUAGCAUGGAAUAAUAGAAUAGGACGUGCGGUCCUAUUUUGUUGGUUUCUAGGACCGCCGUAAUGAUUAAUAGGGACAGUCGGGGGCAUCAGUAUUCAAUUGUCAGAGGUGAAAUUCUUGGAUUUAUUGAAGACUAACUACUGCGAAAGCAUUUGCCAAGGAUGUUUUCAUUAAUCAGUGAACGAAAGUUAGGGGAUCGAAGACGAUCAGAUACCGUCGUAGUCUUAACCGUAAACUAUGCCGACUAGGGAUCGGGCGAUGUUAUUUUUCUGACUCGCUCGGCACCUUACGAGAAAUCAAAGUUUUUGGGUCCUGGGGAGAUGGACCG
rnacentral:rRNA from 1 species